rnacentral:rRNA from 1 species
AUUGAACGCUGGCGGAAUGCUUUACACAUGCAAGUCGAACGGCAGCACGGGAGCUUGCUCCUGGUGGCGAGUGGCGAACGGGUGAGUAAUAUAUCGGAACGUACCCCGUCGUGGGGGAUAACUCUCCGAAAGGAGUGCUAAUACCGCAUACGACCUGAGGGUGAAAGCGGGGGACCUGCAAGGGCCUCGCGCGAUGGGAGCGGCCGAUAUCGGAUUAGCUAGUUGGUGAGGUAAAGGCUCACCAAGGCGACGAUCCGUAGCGGGUCUGAGAGGACGACCCGCCACACUGGAACUGAGACACGGUCCAGACUCCUACGGGAGGCAGCAGUGGGGAAUUUUGGACAAUGGGGGAAACCCUGAUCCAGCCAUUCCGCGUGAGUGAAGAAGGCC